UGGGGAAUUUUGGACAAUGGGCGAAAGCCUGAUCCAGCAAUGCCGCGUGUGUGAAGAAGGCCUUCGGGUUGUAAAGCACUUUUGUCCGGAAAGAAAUCCUUGGCUCUAAUACAGUCGGGGGAUGACGGUACCGGAAGAAUAAGCACCGGCUAACUACGUGCCAGCAGCCGCGGUAAUACGUAGGGUGCAAGCGUUAAUCGGAAUUACUGGGCGUAAAGCGUGCGCAGGCGGUUUGCUAAGACCGAUGUGAAAUCCCCGGGCUCAACCUGGGAACUGCAUUGGUGACUGGCAGGCUAGAGUAUAGCAGAGGGGGGUAGAAUUCCACGUGUAGCAGUGAAAUGCGUAGAGAUGUGGAGGAAUACCGAUGGCGAAGGCAGCCCCCUGGCCAAUACUGACGCUCAUGCACGAAAGCGUGGGGAGCAAACAGGAUUAGAUACCCUGGUAGUCCACGCCCUAAACGAUGUCAACUAGUUGUUGGGUCUUCAUUGACUUGGUAACGUAGCUAACGCGUGAAGUUGACCGCCUGGGGAGUACGGUCGCAAGAUUAAAACUCAAAGGAAUUGACGGGGUCAUAGCUGUUUCCU
rnacentral:rRNA from 1 species